rnacentral:rRNA from 1 species
AAUACAUGGGAAUCUGCCCAGUCGUGGGGGAUAACGUAGGGAAACUUACGCUAAUACCGCAUGCGCCCUUCGGGGGAAAGCCGGGGACCUUCGGGCCUGGCGCGAUUGGAUGAGCCCAUGUCGGAUUAGCUAGUUGGCGGGGUAAAGGCCCACCAAGGCGACGAUCCGUAGCUGGUCUGAGAGGAUGAUCAGCCACACUGGAACUGAGACACGGUCCAGACUCCUACGGGAGGCAGCAGUAGGGAAUAUUGGACAAUGGGCGCAAGCCUGAUCCAGCCAUGCCGCGUGAGUGAAGAAGGCCCUCGGGUUGUAAAGCUCUUUGUUCCGGAAAGAAAAGCGUUGGGUUAAUACCCCGGCGUCCUGACGGUACCGGAAGAAUAAGCACCGGCUAACUUCGUGCCAGCAGCCGCGGUAAUACGAAGGGUGCAAGCGUUACUCGGAAUUACUGGGCGUAAAGCGUGCGUAGGUGGUCCGUUAAGUCUGAUGUGAAAGCCCUGGGCUCAACCUGGGAAUGGCAUUGGAUACUGGCGGGCUAGAGUGCGGUAGAGGGCAGUGGAAUUCCCGGUGUAGCAGUGAAAUGCGUAGAGAUCGGGAGGAACAUCUGUGGCGAAGGCGACUGCCUGGACCAGCACUGACACUGAGGCACGAAAGCGUGGGGAGCAAACAGGAUUAGAUAUCCUGGUAGUCCACGCCCUAAACGAUGCGAACUGGAUGUUGGGCUCAACUUGGAGCUCAGUAU